rnacentral:misc_RNA from 1 species
GGUGACUUCUCCUUUCCUUGCACAGGAGCGAUGGUAAUGGAUGAUUGUUGGCGUUGAACUGUUUGGGUUUGCCCCUCUGAGCAUCUAGCAUUCAAAGCAGAGGCUUGAAUCAAUGUAGUAGAAGGCAAUCGUCGAGUCCGCAUUAUUAUGUGCUUAGGCCAAACUGGUUGAGGUUGUACGACAGGUACUACCAGACCAGACUUGGCUAUCUGUAUCUUCCCGGAGCAUUUGAAAUCCAUAUUGCCCAUGUUGGAUGGAGCAGAAAAUGUUGGGCGGGCUACACCAUGUGUCGACAUAGAGAAUGAUAAGGAACACAUCGCUCAACAACAGACGAAAACCUUGGCGGGCGAGUGGGGCCCGAGAGGGGCCGGCGACGGCGUGACGCUCUGCCGCGAGAGAUGGGAUUCCG